AACGUCGAGCGAACGGAUAAGGAGCUUGCUCCUUUGAAGUUAGCGGCGGACGGGUGAGUAACACGUGGGUAACCUACCUAUAAGACUGGAAUAACUUCGGGAAACCGGAGCUAAUGCCGGAUAACAUUUGGAACCGCAUGGUUCUAAAGUAAAAGAUGGUUUUGCUAUCACUUAUAGAUGGACCCGCGCCGUAUUAGCUAGUUGGUAAGGUAACGGCUUACCAAGGCAACGAUACGUAGCCGACCUGAGAGGGUGAUCGGCCACACUGGAACUGAGACACGGUCCAGACUCCUACGGGAGGCAGCAGUAGGGAAUCUUCCGCAAUGGACGAAAGUCUGACGGAGCAACGCCGCGUGAGUGAUGAAGGUUUUCGGAUCGUAAAACUCUGUUAUUAGGGAAGAACAAAUGUGUAAGUAACUGUGCACAUCUUGACGGUACCUAAUCAGAAAGCCACGGCUAACUACGUGCCAGCAGCCGCGGUAAUACGUAGGUGGCAAGCGUUAUCCGGAAUUAUUGGGGCGUAAAGCGCGCGUAGGCGGUUUCUUAAGUCUGAUGUGAAAGCCCACGGCUCAACCGUGGAGGGUCAUUGGAAACUGGGAAACUUGAGUACAGAAGAGGAAAGUGGAAUUUCCAUGUGUAGCGGUGAAAUGCGCAGAGAUAUGGGAGGAACACCAGUGGCGAAGGCGACUUUCUGGUCUGUAACUGGCGCUGAUGUGCGAAAGCGUGGGGAUAAACAGGAUUAGAUACCCUGGUAGUCCACGCCGUAACGAUGAGUGCUAAGUGUUAGGGGGGUUUCCGCCCCUUAGGUGCUGCGCCUAGACGCAUUAAAGCACUCCGCCUGGGGAGUACGACUCGCAAGUUUGAAACUUCAAAAGGAA
rnacentral:rRNA from 1 species